rnacentral:lncRNA from 1 species
AUGGCAAGGCUGCAGCGUGUGUGUGUGCAUGUGUUUUCAACCCAGUCUUUAAAUGAGGUCUUUGCUGAGAAUUUACAAUUCCCCCAUGGCCUCAAUCUUGCAAAGAUUGCUUUUUUAACACUGUUGGGCUUUAAUUCUAAUAAGCCUCCUCUUUAUUCUCCGCACGCUCACCGAGACGCUCCCAGGAACGCCGCGGAGCCCACAACGCGUGCGCUUCAUCCAGCCGAAAUGUCUGAGCUGUGCCAGCAGCGGGGAGAGGCGGCAGCCCUGGCUACGGCUGCUCCGUGCUCCUCCACAAAGCAAUCUGCUGCUUGGGCUCCUCUCCGCUUCCCUCUUACGCAACUGCACAAAACGGAGAGGGAAAAAAAAAAAAAAAAAAAAAAAUCCCCUAGAUGCUAAUUUAUCUGAGGAGCUCAAGCAGGUCUGCACAAGAAGGCAGUUUCAGCAGAAAGAAGGUAAAAAAAAAUAAAUAAAUAAAAGAGGACCAGCCAUGUCUGAAAUGCUGCUUCAGAAACCCAGUGGAUGCAGCAGCCCUCCCGGCACCAGCACCGCCACCUGCCCCGUCCCGGCACCCGCUGGGAGAAGCCCAGAGCAGCAGCGGGUGCGGCAGCACCAAGCAGCCCCCCACGAGCUCGCUGAGCCCCCCCUGCCCGCUCCCAGACACCUCGGGCAACCCGGGGCACCUCGCAGCCAGCCUGCCCCCCUUUCCUGGGGCCCAGCGGCAAUUACAGGUUUAGCGGUGCAAAGCAGAGUUUAAUAGCAGCCAAGGCUGGUGGGAUUGAUUUCUUGUUUUGUUUUAAGUGCAGCUAAUCUAAUAGUUAAUUUAUUUAAAUUGAUAGGGCAGAGAGAAAUUACAUUUCUAUUUUCUCU